AACCAUCCGCUAAAUUGCUUUUUCUUUUUUUACUUUGUUCUUAUCCCUUUCCAGAUCUUUUUCUUCUCUCUUUUCAGAAACUUUUACAAACCUAGUUUUCCGAUCAAUUUUCCCACGAGUUUAUCAUUAUUUGUUGUCGCCGACCAACUUCUUUCACUCUCCAAAAACUAUCAGAAAUAGACGUUCAUCUUCUCUCUUUGAUAAUCUAAUUAUUUUCUUCUAAAUCAACCUCUAAAAUAGCAAAUCUAAUUUUAAAGAGAAAAAAAAAUAAAAAUCCCAACUUUUCACUUCUAUGUCUCUACUGGAGAUCAUCGACCGUUUUUAGAUGAUUGCAUGUUUGUGUUUGAGGAAGAUGCUGAUUUUAUGGUCUUCUUUGUUUGCUCACAGGAGAGAUUACCUUGUAACCUGCUAUUCCUGUUGGAUUGAAAGCUGAUUUUGUAAGGUAAGAACGAGUAAUUUCCACUAAAACUCCAACUUGCAAUGGAACUGUUGUCAUCCUGUCUUGCCUAUUUGAUCAAGACUUUCCUUCCUGUCUUAGGAAAGAAAGUGUUUAGGACUAUUGACUCGGCUUGGGAAGAAGUCAAAACAUCGACAACAUAAAUAUGGAUUCUGCAGUUGGGCACUUUUAAGGACUCGAAAUGGCUCGUUAAGUUUCUUUUUUUUCCCGAUAAGUUGUGCUCUGGCAUU
rnacentral:lncRNA from 1 species